rnacentral:tRNA from 1 species
UGCGAAGUAGAGAAAUGAUAAUCUCACUAGCCUCAUAAGCUAGAGGUAGGUGGUUUGAUUCCACCCUUCGCAUCCA